rnacentral:rRNA from 1 species
GAUGAACGCUGGCGGCGUGCCUAAUACAUGCAAGUCGAGCGAACGGACGAGAAGCUUGCUUCUCUGAUGUUAGCGGCGGACGGGUGAGUAACACGUGGAUAACCUACCUAUAAGACUGGGAUAACUUCGGGAAACCGGAGCUAAUACCGGAUAAUAUUUUGAACCGCAUGGUACAAAAGUGAAAGACGGUCUUGCUGUCACUUAUAGAUGGAUCCGCGCUGCAUUAGCUAGUUGGUAAGGUAACGGCUUACCAAGGCAACGAUGCAUAGCCGACCUGAGAGGGUGAUCGGCCACACUGGAACUGAGACACGGUCCAGACUCCUACGGGAGGCAGCAGUAGGGAAUCUUCCGCAAUGGGCGAAAGCCUGACGGAGCAACGCCGCGUGAGUGAUGAAGGUCUUCGGAUCGUAAAACUCUGUUAUUAGGGAAGAACAUAUGUGUAAGUAACUGUGCACAUCUUGACGGUACCUAAUCAGAAAGCCACGGCUAACUACGUG